CUGUAGAGAGCGAUCGAAUCUGUCUCUAAAUAUCUUUUGUCUUCGUGGGGUAACGGUAAUGUAUCCAGGUGAAUUGCGAUUAAUUUCCCCACCCUGCGUUCAAAAUGUCUCCCUCCCCUUCCCCCCCCCCCCCCCCCCCCAAGGGCGUUUCAUCUGGUUGGCGUUAGGGGGUUGAGGAUCUCUGCCCUUCGGGGUUUCCGGCACAGCCUGGUGUCCUCUCAGUCCCAGCUGUCCCUCCUUUCUGUUGGGAACAACUUUCUUCCACCCAGCGCGGCGCAUUUAAUGGAGUGACCCAAAAACCUGGCUGCUUUGGAAAGUGGAUAGUAUUGGCAAUCAAAGAACUAUGAGUGAUGUUUUGCACCUCAAGACUUCAUUCUGUAAGAUGUAUCGACGGGAUUGCCUACCUGUAACUCAGCUUUGUAAGCAGCCUCCCGAGGUUAGCCGCGGUGGUAUUACACAUGCCUUGUGCUUUGCCAGCCCUGCAAGCCAGCCAAAGUCUGUUAAAGCCUUCAGAGCACAAAGCACUGAUAAGAUGGAUCUCUAA
rnacentral:lncRNA from 1 species